rnacentral:antisense_RNA from 1 species
GCGGACCCCGCGGCUCGGAGCAAGCGGUGCAGGUGUGGACUGCACAACGGGAUGCACAGAAUUAGUUAAGCAAACCAGGAACCCAGCAGGAAAAUUAAACGCGCCCUGAAUCUGCAAAGCAGGUCCCUUCGAGAGACCAAAGCCGCGAUCCCAACCUUAGCAACAUAAUUCUACUAGAGGUGUUGAUAUAUAUACUAAUCCAGAACAACCAUGUAGCAAGAGGAAUAAUAUGAAGUUCAGAAGUCUGUUUUGGGAAAUUUUGAAGCCCUUUAGAAAGAAAGAUUUCUACAUUUUGUUACAUGAAAUUCAUGCAAAUAUAUGUCAGGUGCCAGUACUAUGGAGUUGUUGAAGAAUAAGCACAAUACCAUUUAUUAUCACUUCUCAGUUGUAAAGAGGCUGUAACUCUGGUUGUCGAAAUAAAAUAAAAUGAAAUAUCCUAGAUGUGACACUGCCAGUUAUUUACAAACAAGUUAUCUGCACAUUUUGGGCUGUAAACAUAAAAGUAAACUCUCUGAAAGACUGCAAAUCAUCUUUAGGGUUUUCUUAAAGUAAAUACAACUAGUGGCCCAGGAACAAAAAGUUUGCUUGUUUCCAAUAAAUGUCACUGGUCACCAUAACUCAUCCUUUUUCCUUAAGGAAAUGUACAGCAUAUUUUAAAGAAAUGCAGUAUUGUUAUCUUCGUCGUAUUACCUGAAGAAUUCUAAUAAAGGAAAAAUGUUUCAGAAGA